rnacentral:misc_RNA from 1 species
ACUAAUUAGUUUCACUAAAAUAGAAAGGCUAAAUAAUAAUUUAGCUUGCAUUAACUAACAGAAAAAUUGACACAGGGACUAAAGAGUUUAACAGAAGCCAAAUACAGCGACCAAGUAGUUAAUUUCAUUAAAAUACAUGGUUAAAUAGUAAUUUCCCAUACCAAUAUUAACCAUUGGACUCAAUAGUACCAAUUACCAAAUAAAAAAAUUUUAAAAUUCAAUAGCAAACAAUUUCACUUGAACCAUUCAAUAAAAUAAAUGACUAUGUAAAGUCAGAAAUGAAAAUGGGUUAUUUAUCAAAUUAGACAAGUUCAACCAAUACAACUAUUCAACAUUUAGGAAUUAGGAGAAACAUAACACAUUAUGUCACGACCCAACCUAUGGGC